rfam:Penicillium italicum strain PHI-1 contig2470, whole genome shotgun sequence.
GGCCCAGUGGCGCAGUGGUUAACGCGCCGUGCUUGUAUGUACAUUUACAGGAACACGGAGACCGGGGGUUCGACUCCCCCCUAGGCCC